GAACUGAAGAGUUUGAUCCUGGCUCAGAUUGAACGCUGGCGGCAUGCCUUACACAUGCAAGUCGAACGGUAACGCGGGGCAACCUGGCGACGAGUGGCGAACGGGUGAGUAAUGCAUC
rnacentral:rRNA from 1 species